ACACUCGCCCCCGUUCCAGGUGCUCGCGCCCUGCUCUUACAGGGCUGCAGUUCAACGGGAAACAGGGAGCCGGGCGCCGAAAUCCAUAUCGGGGCAGGCCAACCUGUGCUGCCCCCGCAACGGUAAGCGACCGCGAACGCCCGCCACGAGCGGCUCGCAGGGCCGGCCAAACGCCACUGAAUCUGAAUCGUCACGAUCUGAUCGGGAAGGCGGCCAGCCUGAUGUCGUCAGCCCGGAUACCGGCCUGCAGAACGAGGGUAUG
rnacentral:ncRNA from 2 species